GAUGAAAGAGGGAGGCGUGCCUAAUACAUGCAAGUCGAGCGAACGGACGAGAAGCUUGCUUCUCUGAUGUUAGCGGCGGACGGGUGAGUAACACGUGGAUAACCUACCUAUAAGACUGGGAUAACUUCGGGAAACCGGAGCUAAUACCGGAUAAUAUUUUGAACCGCAUGGUUCAAAAGUGAAAGACGGUCUUGCUGUCACUUAUAGAUGGAUCCGCGCUGCAUUAGCUAGUUGGUAAGGUAACGGCUUACCAAGGCAACGAUGCAUAGCCGACCUGAGAGGGUGAUCGGCCACACUGGAACUGAGACACGGUCCAGACUCCUACGGGAGGCAGCAGUAGGGAAUCUUCCGCAAUGGGCGAAAGCCUGACGGAGCAACGCCGCGUGAGUGAUGAAGGUCUUCGGAUCGUAAAACUCUGUUAUUAGGGAAGAACAUAUGUGUAAGUAACUGUGCACAUCUUGACGGUACCUAAUCAGAAAGCCACGGCUAACUACGUG
rnacentral:rRNA from 1 species